CAGUCGCCGCGGUAAUACAGAGGAUGCAAGCGUUAUCCGGAAUGAUUGGGCGUGAAGCGCGUCUAGGUGGUUAUGUAAGUCUGAUGUGAAAAUGCAGGGCUCAACUCUGUAUUGCGUUGGAAACUGUGUAACUAGAGUACUGGAGAGGUAAGCGGAACUACAAGUGUAGAGGUGAAAUUCGUAGAUAUUUGUAGGAAUGCCGAUGGGGAAGCCAGCUUACUGGACAGAUACUGACGCUGAAGCGCGAAAGCGUGGGUAGCAAACAGGAUUAGAUACCCCGGUAGUCCCUGUCUCUUAUACA
rnacentral:rRNA from 1 species